CUAAGAAGAAAAGAUUUGGAGAAGAAACUUUAACUCGGUUAACUUUGUGGACAAGCAAAAACAUUAGAGAGGAGGUUAAAAAUAUUAUGUAUCCCCAUUCUCUCAUAUAAAGAAUACAGCGUGUUUUGGUCACAGUUAAUCUUAAAAGUUUAAAGUCUACUGGGAUGCUUGAAUAGAAUGGAGCCAUCAACAUUAUUAAUUACACCUGUGCUUUUUGUAUCACGGCAAGUAAAAAAUGCUCGCUGUGAAAUUAACUCUGAGGGACAUGUGGUAAGUCAAAUCUCGAUGAGGCUCCUGACUGAUGUGAUGAGGAAAUGUUUCAUUCAAGGGCGUUUUGGUCACGCAGAGAUCCAUGCCAGCAUCCCAUGCGGCCGAUUGCCUCCAAAGUUAUCCAAAAUGUCCAGCUCUGCGUAAUGAUUUUUCCAGACAGCUGACUGGCCCGGUUCGCUCACAUCACUCCACAGAUUUCACCUGAUAAUGCGCUUAGACACAGUGGCUGAUCACAUUCACCUGACCUUGCUGCACCAGCUAACUUGGGAGAAGAGAUGAAGAGAACGUUUCCGCUUAUCUGUCCCAUUUGCUGGAGGAGGAGAGAUUCUCCAAACUCUCACUCCCAGCGUGGCUCCCAUUGACUUUGAACCUUUUGUUUUACUCAGGCCACGGAUAGCAUCUCAGGAGCUGCUGGAGUCGUGCACACAGACUCUCCAAAUAUAAUUAGCCAUUAUGAAUUGAAGAAACAUGGGAAAACUCCGAAGGAUGUGACGGAUUCAUCUGCCUGGUUUGGCACUAUGUUGUCACUUUCUUGUUGUUUUGUAGCACUAAUUGCAUUUGUCAUUGAAGGCUGACUAAAUCAGGCAACUAAUGAGAUGCUGAUUAAAGAUUCCAAAAUUCA